rnacentral:rRNA from 1 species
UACGUAGGGGGCUAGCGUUGUCCGGAAUCAUUGGGCGUAAAGCGCGUGUAGGCGGUCCGGUAAGUCCGCUGUGAAAGUCGGGGGCUCAACCCUCGAAUGCCGGUGGAUACUGUCGGGCUAGAGUACGGAAGAGGCGAGUGGAAUUCCUGGUGUAGCGGUGAAAUGCGCAGAUAUCAGGAGGAACACCAAUUGCGAAGGCAGCUCGCUGGGACGUUACUGACGCUGAGACACGAAAGCCAGGGGAGCGAACGGG